CAGAGGUGGCAAGCGUUGUUCGGAAUUACUGGGCGUAAAGGGCGCGUAGGCGGUUCGAUAAGUCCCGUGUGAAAUCCCUCGGCUCAACUGAGGAAUGGCACGGGAAACUGACGGGCUUGAGUUCGGGAGAGGGAAGCGGAAUUCCGGGUGUAGCGGUGAAACGCGUAGAUAUCCGGAGGAACACCGGUGGCGAAGGCGGCUUCCUGGACCGACACUGACGCUGAGGCGCGAAAGCUAGGGGAGCAAACGGGAUUAGAUACCCCGGUAGUCCUAGCUGUAAACGAUGAGUGCUGGGUGUAGGGGGUAUCUACCCCCCCUGUGCCGAAGCUAACGCAUUAAGCACUCCGCCUGGGGAGUACGGUCGCAAGGCUG
rnacentral:rRNA from 1 species